rnacentral:lncRNA from 10 species
GAGUCACCUAUUGUAUGAUUCCAUUUAUAUGAAAUAUCCAAAAUAGCUGUCCUGGGUGGCAUGAGAACCAUGGGCUGAGGAUUGGACAAGCUUGCUCUACAAUAUUCACAGGCCACAGAUCAGCCCUGGGGUUCAGAGGGAUCCUGACAGCUACUCCUCAAGAUCCUCUCUGUUGUGAUUCAUCCCCCCGGGGCCCUACAGUUUCUCCUUCCUGACUCUUACAUUUCUUUGGAUGGCAUCAUUAUUGCUGGAGUGCAGUGAUGUGAUCUCGGCUCACUGCAACCCCUGCCUCCUGGAUUCAAGCAAUUCUCCUGCCUCACCCUCCCAAGUAGCUGGGAUUACAGUACCUGUCUCCUCCCAUAGUUAGGUGCCAAGCACUGUGGAUUCUGCCUCUCAGUGUCCAGACACCCAUUUUCCUUCCCACUGUUCCUUCCCCAUGGAGAAGCCUGUGGCUGGCUGACAGCAGAGAGAGAUGCUCAACUUGGAGAAGGUGUUACCUGGGCCAGGUGGGGAAGGUUUGUUUGCAGAGCAAAGAAGUGAAGGAAGUAUUAACCCUUUGCAUGGCCUCCUGAGAAUCCGACAAGACGUAAAUAGCCAAGAAUAUCUGUGAAACUUCAUCACUGAGUUACAAUAUUUAUCACUGCAAGUGUGUUGUUCAUUGACACUAUAAAGCCAUGUGGAAUUAAGCAGCCUUGAAACACAAAAUGGAGAAAGGCUAAGAGCUGAGAAUUGUUGCCUUCAGGGAAAUACAAUCAAUGUCAAGCAAACAACCACCCC